GUGCUCGCUUCGGCAGCAUAAAUGCUAAAAUUGGAAUGAAACAGAGAAGAUUAGCAUGGCCCCUGCACAAGGAUGAUCAAACGUGUUGGUGUUAUCCAUGGAU